UGUCACUAAAGAUGACUGAGUUCAACUAGAGGACUCCUUUGUGUUAUUUCUGGUUUACCAUCAACGAACACAAAGGUUAAAGGUGCAGUCUGAAACAACUUGAAUUGGUUCCAAAUCCACUCAGGUCACUGGGGCCAGGCCCGAACCGGCACCAGCACCUAACAAAAACUUCAUAACCUCAUGAUGGCACUAGAGGAAACGUCAGAGAAUCACCAACACAGUAAAGCUACAAACUGACACCGACAUCAUGUGGAGUGGACAUACAUCUUCUUUUCAGUGACCUGCUAGUUCAUAACUUAUUAAUAGAAAAACCAGCAGCCGGUUUAUUUGUUGACUGGGUGAGGCUACUCAUCCAUCUCCAGUGGAGGACAGCAGGUCCGGCCAUCCAAAGGCCAGGUCUGGUAUUUACCUGUUAUCUUCUAUUUCACUUCCUUACUCUUCCUAAACUAAUAAGAAUUAAUAUAUCAUUUUAUGUUCCUCACUUUUCUUGGUCCUCCUCAAAACUGCACUGGCAAACUUGGUAGAGAUACUGCUACAUGAAGUACUGUGUAGCUUUAAGGCUGUAGUGCAGACAAUAAUAAUGCUUGGCUACCGCUAUCGUGAAAAUGUUAUCUGAUGGGAGGCAAACAAUGGCUGAUAGGAAGCAGCCAGUAUCCACACAGGUGUGGAGGAAAAUAAAUCAGGUUUCACUGACGUCAGAUGGCUCCGAGGACAGUGUUGCUGCAUGCCUUUACUUUGUUUCCCUGCAAUAAAUAUUCUUGCUGUGUCAUGGCACGGCAGCAUAAACAUAAUUUUCUUGUAUCCAAGCUGCCAAUACAAAACCAUCUGUUUGAUCGCCAUGGAAACAGUUAAAUGUGAAAUAAAGAGUUGGAAGCCGGCGCUGCAGCCAAGGACAACUCUGUGUGUGUAUUAAUCACAUCGUGGCACCUUAAAUCUGUUCAUAUAUAGUGACAUCAUGGGGACUCGCCUCCAAUUU